GGUUAAGUGACUAAGCGUACACGGUGGAUGCCUUGGCAGUCAGAGGCGAUGAAGGACGUAUUAACUUGCGAUAAGCCCAGAUUAGGCAGUAAAAGCCACUUGAGUCUGGGAUUUCCGAAUGGGGAAACCCACUUGCAUAAGCAAGUAUCAUUAACUGAAUACAUAGGUUAAUGAGGCGAACCGGGGGAACUGAAACAUCUAAGUACCCCGAGGAAAAGAAAUCAACCGAGAUUCCGAAAGUAGCGGCGAGCGAAAUUGGACUAGCCCUUAAGCUUUAUAUGCGUUAGACGAACGGUCUGGAAAGUCCGGCGAUACAGGGUGAUAGCCCCGUAGUUGACAACGCAC
rnacentral:rRNA from 1 species